rnacentral:ribozyme from 1 species
CCUCUAUCUGCUGACAAGAAAAGACUUCAAAAUAUGAAGUAUGAUGGUGUUUGUGACAGAAGUGGGACUGAGAUGAAGCUGAGUUACCUUAUCAAUGAG